rnacentral:rRNA from 1 species
GCCGCGUGCAGGAUGACGGUCCUAUGGAUUGUAAACUGCUUUUAUACAGGAAGAAACACCUCUACGUGUAGAGACUUGACGGUACUGUAAGAAUAAGGAUCGGCUAACUCCGUGCCAGCAGCCGCGGUAAUACGGAGGAUCCAAGCGUUAUCCGGAAUCAUUGGGUUUAAAGGGUCCGUAGGCGGUCAGAUAAGUCAGUGGUGAAAGCCCAUCGCUCAACGGUGGAACGGCCAUUGAUACUGUCUGACUUGAAUUAUUAGGAAGUAACUAGAAUAUGUAGUGUAGCGGUGAAAUGCUUAGAGAUUACAUGGAAUACCAAUUGCGAAGGCAGGUUACUACUAAUUGAUUGACGCUGAUGGACGAAAGCGUGGGUAGCGAACAGGAUUAGAUACCCUGGUAGUCCACGCCGUAAACGAUGGAUACUAGCUGUUGGGAGCAAUCUCAGUGGCUAA